GAUGAACGCUGGCGGCGUGCCUAACACAUGCAAGUCGAACGGAGAUUCCGGACGGAAGUUUUCGGAUGGAAGACUGUAAUUCUUAGUGGCGGACGGGUGAGUAACGCGUGGGCAACCUGCCCUAUACAGGGGGAUAGCAGCUGGAAACGGCUGGUAAGACCGCAUAAGUCGGUUAAAUCGCAUGAUUUGAUCGGGAAAUGAGCAAUCAGGUAUAGGAUGGGCCCGCGUCCGAUUAGCCAGUUGGCAGGGUAAAAGCCUACCAAAGCGACGAUCGGUAGCCGGACUGAGAGGUCGGACGGCCACAUUGGGACUGAGACACGGCCCAAACUCCUACGGGAGGCAGCAGUGGGGGAUAUUGCACAAUGGAGGAAACUCUGAUGCAGCGACGCCGCGUGAGUGAAGAAGUAUUUCGGUAUGUAAAGCUCUAUCAGCAGGGAAGAUGAUGACGGUACCUGACGAAGAAGCCCCGGCUAACUACGUG
rnacentral:rRNA from 1 species